GACGAACGCUGGCGGCGUGCCUAAUACAUGCAAGUCGAACGGCGUGGCGAAAGGGUGAGUAAUGUAUCGGAACGAGCCCGGUAGCGGGGGAUAAAUAAGCGAAAGCGUAGCCUAUACCGCAUGCUAUUAGUGCGGCCGAUAUCGGCUUAGCUAGUUGGUGGGGUAACGGCUCACCAAGGCGAUGAUCCGUAGCUGGUUUGAGAGGACGAUCGGCCACACUGGGACUGAGACACGGCCCAGACUCCUACGGGAGGCAGCAGUGGGGAAUUUUGGACAAUGGGGGAAACCCUGACCCAGCCAUCCCGCGUGUGCGAUGAAGGUCUUCGGAUUGUAAAGCUCUUUUGGCAGGAAAGCGGUACCUGCAGAAUAAGCAACGGCUAACUACGUGCCAGCAGCCGCGGUAAUAC
rnacentral:rRNA from 1 species